rnacentral:rRNA from 1 species
UACGUAGGGGGCAAGCGUUGUCCGGAUUCAUUGGGCGUAAAGAGCGUGUAGGCGGCUAGGUAGGUCGGUUGUGAAAACUGGAGGCUCAACCUUCAGAGGUCGACCGAAACCAUCUGGCUAGAGUCCGGGAGAGGAGAGUGGAAUUCCUGGUGUAGCGGUGAAAUGCGCAGAUAUCAGGAAGAACACCCGUGGCGAAAGCGGCUCUCUGGAACGGUACUGACGCUGAGACGCGAAAGCGUGGGGAGCGAACAGG